rnacentral:rRNA from 1 species
UACGGAGGGUGCGAGCGUUGUCCGGAUUUAUUGGGUUUAAAGGGUGCGUAGGUGGCUUUUUAAGUCAGUAGUGAAAUACAGCCGCUCAACGGUUGAGGUGCCAUUGAUACUGAAGAGCUUGAAACAAGUGGAGGCUGCCGGAAUGGAUGGUGUAGCGGUGAAAUGCAUAGAUAUCAUCCAGAACACCGAUUGCGAAGGCAGGUGGCUACUGUUUGAUUGACACUGAGGCACGAAAGCAUGGGGAGCAAACAGG